UUUUUCUGCUAUACUUUCUUGUCAAUGUUUUAAAAACCGACCCCCCAACCAAAAAUAAGUUAGGGAUGAAUCUUGAGUCUGGUGGUGGUCGUAGAUGUGAGUUAGGGAUGAAUCUUGAGUCUCCGUCGAGUUGCCUCCAAAAAAAUCCUCAAGUUUAGGCUGUGGCUGCAUGUUUUGGUGCAUAUAUGGGUCCAUGUAGCUAGUGAAAUUGAUGGAGUUGUUUUCUUUCAGUUUAAAGCUUAUAUUAGGUAAUUUUAGCUCAUUAAUGUAUUUCCUCAUAUCAGAAUAAAAUAAAAGCAUAUUCAGAGACGAUUUCCUCUCCAAGCAAACACUCACUUGAAGGUGAUAGUGUUGCAAAAGUACUUGGUCCAGAACGUCCAGGACGGGUAAGAGGUCAUGGUUUCGGUGCGACUCCUUCAAAGUUGAAUGCUUUGGUGCACAAUCAUAACUUGCAAACUCAAGUUCAAGAGUUGAGGGAUGAAAUUAAAGAACUAAAAGCUUUGUUUCAAGUGAAGAGUAAAAGUGCUGAACAAGAAGAUAAUGUAAGUGGAAAUCUAGAAUCAAUGAAUGUUAUUUUAAAUUACAUAUAUUUUCUAUAUUCAAAAUAAUAAAUUGUACAACUGGAUAUUAAUUUUAUAGUCUAGAGACAGAAGCUUGAAUGGUUUAGAUAACCUUCAAAAUAAGAAGUGCAAAUUGUUAUCUUGGUUUAGGAAAGCUAAUAUUGUUGCAAAAGGUGAAAUUGCAUCAACAAAUUCAAAUGAUCUACUGCAUCAUGUACCCCUUGGUAAUGAAUGUUGGAGAGUUUGGGUUAAUGAAGUGAUCAAUAAUGUUAGCUUAUAUCGUCCCACGCGUGAGCUUUUUCUUCUAGAAGAUGCAUUAGGAAGUACAAUUGCAUGGCCAAGUAGGUAUAUCGAAGUGGAUUCGCUGUAAUCACAACGAAGGUAUGCUUAACUUCUUUUCUAUUUUAAUUCCAUUUCCCUUUAUGUUCGGUCUCUAUUGAAGAUUGUGUUGUUUAAUAUAUUUUUGAUUUGGAUGCUUAUUAAUUAUAUCCUUAUUAUUUUCGUGGUGUGCAGAGGAUCCAUAUUUUGUGGGGUAGCUAAAUUGUCGGUCAAAGAAGUGAACUUUGAUAGGUUUAAUAAUUUUUUGUUAUAUGACGGAACCUCAAUAUCCACGGGUUUAUUAGUUGAAUGGCGAUUGGCGCAUACAAUAGUAGUCGAAUAUUUUUUAAAAUUGUUUAGAUGAAUUUUACAUUGGCAUAUUGUAUUGAACCGUAGUCAAUAUUUCUUUUUAUCGAAAUAAUGGAAAACUUGAUUAUAUAUGGAGUGA
rnacentral:lncRNA from 1 species